AAUCUUUAUCUCGAUUUCCUAGCCGAUUCUCACUAACUCAGAUCUGAUUAUUUCUUCAUCUCAGUAGCUUCUUCAUCAAAUUUCUUCAUCUGAUUAUACUUUAACUAAACAAUCUGAUUUGUUUGGAAAGAUUUACUCACGGAACAAAUUCCUCUCACUUCAUAAGCGAAUCACAAAUUCGAUCCAUUAGAAGAUGUCCUCUUACUCUUGGAUCGAUCACUUGAGUUGUUGAAGGUACGAAUAAAUCUUUUCAGGAUCUUCUCCGAAAGAAACAAGGUGAUCGAGCGAUGUGGGAGUACCCAUUUGCAGUAGCUAUGGAUGUUGUUUAUAAUUGUUAAGCAGAUAACGAUGAGUAUCCAAACUCUUAAUGCAUGAUAAAAUCAAACAUUCUUUAGCUUUCAAGUGAUGAAUGUUUGUCCUGUGAAGCAUCUUAACUUGUAAACUAUAACUAUCUAAAUGAUUUCAACCUUCAACUGUGGAUAGCUACAUUUUGUUAUCAUCUCCAAUCAAAUUUAUGAUAUAUUGAUUAUGCUGUGAAUAAAAAAUGUAGACAACGCUUGAAAAUUUUGUUCACUUACUUGGUAAAAGUUGAGCAUCAAUUUUUAUGGGCUCCAUCAUGUCAUGUGUUCUAAACGGUCCAAACUGGUGAUGAUCUUCCCAGUAAGGAAACCAAUUGUUUGAGUUUAAUUUAAAUGCCCAGUGCAUACCUAUAUGUCUCUCUCUCUUAUUCCUCUAAUUUAUGUUUUGUUGGCAUUGACAUUGCAGGAACAGAGCACCGUGCCAUCACUAAGGAAAGCCCUCAGGGAUGUUGCAAUGGAGAAAGAUGCUUCAAUUAUUGCAAGGGAGGCUCUCUCAACCCAGUUACGGUUGGCCAACAAACGUUGAAAAGAGGCAGAAGAGGAACAAUACAGAGUAAACAAUUUAUUGACUGAGAAGCAAGAGCCACUACUGAGGCAACAAGAACAGCAGAGGCUAGCAGAGGUUCAAGCGCAGAGUUCUACACUUAAGGCUGAAAAGCAAGUGUUGGAUGAGAACCCAGAAGCUUUAACCAGAAAUGCAUCAGGGGAAAUACGAGGCGCCUAUGAGAUUGAUCUGAUGGAGAAGAGGGUGGUUAUUGCAGCGUCGAUGCUGAAAGAUAAGUUACAGUACCAAUCUGGUCAAGCUAAGGGUUCAAACUCAUGAAGGCAGAGCAUGGUCGUGAGAGUCAGGUCAGGCUUAUUAUGUCUUGAGAUGGUGUAGAUGUGGAGGCCAUGAAGAAAGAAAUCAGCUCGCAGUGUAAGAGUCCUCUUAGGGAGUUUUUUUAUUCAAAUGCAGUUUCCCAUAGUUUCACUGAGUUCGCAACAAACCAUACUAGUGCUGCUGUUGUUUUUGUAUUCUAACUCACACUAGCCUUUUUCUGUUUUAUUUUUCAUUCUUGAUGUCAUCUUCUUGGAUGUUGUUUGGACAAAGAAUUUAUAUGAGAUUGAACUUUUACAA